rnacentral:rRNA from 1 species
GAAGGGUUGGUAGCCAUGCAGUCUAAGUACGAGCUCCCGUACAGUGAAACUGCGAAUGGCUCAUUAAAUCAGUUAUGGUUCAUUUGAUCGUACGUGUUACUUGGAUAACUGUGGAAAUGCUAGAGCUAAUACAUGCAUAAAGCGCCGACCUCGCGGGAGGCGUGCUUUUAUCAGACCAAAAACCGACCGGGCUUCGGCUCGUCGCUUUGGUGACUCUGGAUAACUUCGCGGAUCGCACGGUCGAGCACCGGCGACGGAUCAUUCAAGUGUCUGCCCUAUCAACUUUCGUCGGUAGGGUAUCGGCCUACCGAGGUUCUUACGGGUAACGGGGAAUCAGGGUUCGAUUCCGGAGAGGGAGCCUGAGAAACGGCUACCACAUCCAAGGAAGGCAGCAGGCGCGCAAAUUACCCAUUCCCGACGCGGGGAGGUAGUGACGAAAAAUAACAAUACAGGACUCUCAACGAGGCCCUGUAAUUGGAAUGAGUACACUUUAAAACCUUUAACGAGUAUCCAUUGGAGGGCAAGUCUGGUGCCAGCAGCCGCGGUAAUUCCAGCUCCAAAAGUGUAUAUUUAAGUUGCUGCGGUUAAAAAGCUCGUAGUUGGAUUUUGGGCGCAGGCGGCCGGUCCGUCGCAAGGCGUGCACUGGCCGUCCUGGCCUUACCUCCGGUUCCCCGCCGGUGCUCUUGACUGAGUGUCGGCGGCGGCCGGGACGUUUACUUUGAAAAAUUAGAGUGUUCAAAGCAGGCGGUUCGCCUGAAUAAUGGUGCAUGGAAUAAUGGAAUAGACCUCGGUUCUAUUUUGUUGGUAUUCUGAUCGCGUAGGUAGUGAUCAAGAUGGACAGACGGGCGCAUACAUACUGAUGCUCUUAUAUGGCGAAAUUCAUGGAUCAGCCUCAGAGCGACGACUGCAAAGCAUUUGCCAGCAUGUUUUCUUUAAUCAAGACCAAAGUCGAGGUUCGAAAUCGAUAGAUACCAUACUAGUCGGACCGCUCACGUAUGCGACUAUCAUCUGUGAACAUUAGAUGACGACCGUGCCCGCGCCUCCGGCACCCAAGCUCUUCGGAUACAGGGAAUUUAGGGUGGCAGGCGAGCUUAUGGCAUUCAGCAGGCAACGCUCCAGAUGAGCACGUCCACUAUUUGACCCUCACCGCUUAUUCUACACUUUCGGCAUGGCACUCGCUGAGCUGGACCGAUCGACUCAGCACUGGUAAGUGAGGUAGAUCCACUAG